rnacentral:tRNA from 1 species
GCAUCCCUAGUCUAAUGGAUAAAACGUUCGGCUCCGGACCGGGAGAUGGGGGUUCAAUUCCCCCGGGGUGCA